UGAACGCUGGCGGCGUACCUAAUACAUGCAAGUCGAGCGAACAGACGAGGAGCUUGCUCCUCUGACGUUAGCGGCGGACGGGUGAGUAACACGUGGAUAACCUACCUAUAAGACUGGGAUAACUUCGGGAAACCGGAGCUAAUACCGGAUAAUAUAUUGAACCGCAUGGUUCAAUAGUGAAAGACGGUUUUGCUGUCACUUAUAGAUGGAUCCGCGCCGCAUUAGCUAGUUGGUAAGGUAACGGCUUACCAAGGCGACGGUGCGUAGCCGACCUGAGAGGGUGAUCGGCCACACUGGAACUGAGACACGGUCCAGACUCCUACGGGAGGCAGCAGUAGGGAAUCUUCCGCAAUGGGCGAAAGCCUGACGGAGCAACGCCGCGUGAGUGAUGAAGGUCUUCGGAUCGUAAAACUCUGUUAUUAGGGAAGAACAAAUGUGUAAGUAACUAUGCACGUCUUGACGGUACCUAAUCAGAAAGCCACGGCUAACUACGUG
rnacentral:rRNA from 1 species